UUCAUUUGUGGAUCUUGUUAAAAUGCAGAUUCUGAUUCAGUAAGCCUGGGCCAUGGCCUGAAAUUCUGCAUUUCUAACAACCUCCCAGGUGAUGCCAA
rnacentral:pre_miRNA from 1 species